UUAAACUCAAAGAAUUUGGCGGUAUUUUAUUCCUUUUAGAGGAACCUAUCUCGUGAUUGAUAAUACACGAUUAAUUUUACUUAUAUUUAUUUGUUUGUAUAUUUCCGUUAUCAGAAGAUCUUUUAAGAGUUUUAAUUUUCUUUACUUAUUAUUAUAAUUUAUUUCAGGUCAAGGUGCAGCUUAUAAUUAAGAGAAGAUGGGUUACAAUAAAUUUUUGUUUAUUACGGUUUUAUAUUUUGAAAUUUUAUAAUUAAGGGGGAUUUAAUAGUAAAUUGAUUAAUUUAAUUCAAUUGAUUUUGGCUCUAAGGGGUGUACACAUC
rnacentral:rRNA from 1 species